rnacentral:rRNA from 1 species
CACGUGGGCAAUCUGCCCUUCACUCUGGGACAAGCCCUGGAAACGGGGUCUAAUACCGGAUACCACUACCGCAGGCAUCUGUGGUGGUUGAAAGCUCCGGCGGUGAAGGAUGAGCCCGCGGCCUAUCAGCUUGUUGGUGAGGUAAUGGCUCACCAAGGCGACGACGGGUAGCCGGCCUGAGAGGGCGACCGGCCACACUGGGACUGAGACACGGCCCAGACUCCUACGGGAGGCAGCAGUGGGGAAUAUUGCACAAUGGGCGAAAGCCUGAUGCAGCGACGCCGCGUGAGGGAUGACGGCCUUCGGGUUGUAAACCUCUUUCAGCAGGGAAGAAGCGAAAGUGACGGUACCUGCAGAAGAAGCGCCGGCUAACUACGUGCCAGCAGCCGCGGUAAUACGUAGGGCGCAAGCGUUGUCCGGAAUUAUUGGGCGUAAAGAGCUCGUAGGCGGCUUGUCACGUCGGGUGUGAAAGCCCGGGGCUUAACCCCGGGUCUGCAUUCGAUACGGGCUAGCUAGAGUGUGGUAGGGGAGAUCGGAAUUCCUGGUGUAGCGGUGAAAUGCGCAGAUAUCAGGAGGAACACCGGUGGCGAAGGCGGAUCUCUGGGCCAUUACUGACGCUGAGGAGCGAAAGCGUGGGGAGCGAACAGGAUUAGAUACCCUGGUAGUCCACGC